rnacentral:rRNA from 1 species
UACGUAGGCAGCAAGCGUUGUUCGGAGUUACUGGGCGUAAAGGGUGCGUAGGCGGCUCUAUAAGUAUGGUGUGAAAUCUCCCGGCUUAACUGGGAGGUGCGCUAUAGACUGUGGGGCUAGAGUGCGGGAGAGGAAAGUGGAAUUCCUGGUGUAGCGGUGAAAUGCGUAGAUAUCAGGAGGAACACCGGUGGUGUAAACGGCUUUCUGGACCGUAACUGACGCUGAUGCACGAAAGCGUGGGUAGCAAACAGG